UCCAGCCAAUACGGAACAGAUGUGUUACUUUCCUUGCGUGUCCUUGCCUCACAACAGUAGUUUAAAAAAAAUAGUUAUCGCUCUGACGACGUUAAAACUACACAAAUGACCGUAUCUCGUCGCCGAUUGGAUUACAGAAGAAGUAAUAAGACCCCCUUCAAGAGUUCUGCAGAUGGUGAGGACGCACAUUCAAAGCUGUGCAACUUGGCGAAGGCGGGCACGUCACGCUAAGGACACAAACGAGAUGCCAGUUCUUGAUUUGGCAGAAGAGGGUGUAGGCUAAGCCUUAAUAACACAGCAUCCCUGUUCCAAGGCAGAAGCAGCAGAUCCAUUUCUGUCUGCUCCCUUUAUCCCCUUAAGUCAGUGAUAGAAAGCAGCUGGAGCUGAAGUAUCCAGCCUGGAUGAUUCAUGCCCUCAGCCCUCAUGCCUCCACAUGCCCCUCCCCCCCGUGUGACCGUGGGCUUGGCAUAGCGAGUGUGACACUUUAUAGCCAUCAUUUCUCUGGCUUUCUAAUUAUCAUUCACAUUAGCUGAUUCAUAAAGCUUUAAUUCGGCAAUAAUGAUAACGCCAGUGUCCCAGACGGUCUCGUAGAUAGAAGCAGAUUUAUCGCCUGCACAUUUGGGGACUGUUCACGGGGCUCUGAAUUUUGUGAUGCCGACUGCAAACUUGCACUGCAUGGGCAUUUUCAGCCCUGCUGAAAACACUUGUCUGUUAAUAAUAAAUGCUGCAUGGAACUGUUAUCAACAAGGAGUCCUUUUUUUUUUUAUAAAGGACAAUGAGGACAAUUCAUUUUUAUGGCAGGAAACAUAAAAAGGAGAAGUGCAUAAUACAAAAUAGGGUGUGGGGUCGACGACAUUUGGGCAAUUUAUUCAACUGCACAGAAUAUUGGUAAAGAAACAGUAUUUUAAACAAUGAUGAAGAUAUUUUCUUUCAUAACUUCUAUAUUAUGGAUCUAUAGAAUGGGAAAUCUGACUGGUGGCCAUUACAUUUGAGGCUACUUUAGGUUUUUUGUCCAGUUAAGCUUUUUUGGCCAUGAUGGCUAAUUGUUUCACACAGAUGCGGCAUAAGAGACUGCGACACGGAAAAGAAAAGAGCUAAGGGUGCCAUAUGUCUGUGGUCUGGCCAUCAGAUCCAGCCAGUCGCACUCUCUGUCCCUCAUGCUGAACACAGCUUCCCUGUUUCUUGCACCAGGGACGAGCAUCCGGAAGGUAACCGACAGAUCCUCUCAGUCACUAUGUUCAUAAAGUGCCAAAAGUGGAUAGUUUUCAAGAAACAUUGUGUUCUCUUAUGUUCUCUUGGAGUCUUUUCAUGGGUUCACCUGUUCCCUUGGAAAUCUAUAAAUAGACAAUGAAUUACAGAGCCUUAAUUAUGAUCUAUUAUAAUUAUAUUUAAAAUGAUCAGCAAAGAAAGCACCGCACUACCGUACUUUUUAUGAAGAAUUUGAACAAAGUUGUUUUUCAGAUUUGUGCGCAAUUACAACCAAGAAAGUGGUGUGUAAAGAUAAAAAAAAUCCAAAUAAACGCUCAGCUAUGAAUUAUGAAUAAUACCGAAGACAGAAUGUGCACCUCCAUGACAAUAUUCAUUAUAGAAAAUCAACACUGAAAAGAAGGAGAAAAAAAAAAACCACUUGAAAUCCUGUUUGAUUACCAACUAUUAACUAGCUGCAGAAUGGACCUGGCAGACUAAAUAAUUAGCCUACGGUUAGAAAGAUGCUUAACUUUUAUAAAGUUUAGUUGACGUGCCAGUAAUUAAAUUCUGCAGAUGGUAGCUUUUUGUACUUAUUAAGAGUUUCUGUUACAACUACUACCACAGGAAAUACACUUUGUUGGGGCUCGGAGUUUUUGUCUCUUUGCAAAUAUAAUCUGCUGAGUGCAGAGAUUACCAGAAAUAAUGAACAAAAAUUGUGUUUGAAAAAUUUUGCUCUUGCAAAGUUUUGCUCUUAUUUUUUGGUCAGAGUUGAAGGCAAAUGUUGAUUGAAUCGAGGCAAUAAUCUCUCCAGCCUCCAUGCCAAUAUCGUCCAGGUUCUGUGGUGAAGAAGUGCAGUGGCUUUGAUUAAAUGUGCAGUUUCAGAUGUAUCGACCUGCUUUGCAAAUCUCUGGUUAUAUUUUAGUGAGGGACUUCACUCUCAUUGGCUGCAGUGUGAAUCAUUAAUCAUUAUGUUGCAGUCCUGAAAGCCCCAACUUCUUGGAGUAGAGACAGGACAUGGGCACAUCUUUGUGGUAAUUCAUGAGAGAUUUUCUAUUCCACCUAAUUAUAGAAGAAGUGCACACAUAGACACUUUUUUAUUUUGUUUCUCUCACUUCCUGGUGGUUAAUUAGCAAAAAGUCCAGUCAUUAAACACAUUUCCUGACAUCUCAUUUCAGAGUAGAAAUCAUUCACUAAUCAGUCAUAAACAUGCAGGCUCAAUAAGGUCCUUCUUACCAGCUUAAAAGGUGUUAUUUAUUGUUAUCGCAUGACUUUGUUGAAUGCUUGAUUCUGAUUGGUCGCGUCAGGCAUUCUACGGUCAAAUAUUUUUGAAUAACGACCGCUUCUAUUGGCUAAAGGACCACUUUAAUUUGUCAUGCUUUUCAUAUCACUACGCAGAAAGAAGUACGGUUAAUUUCCAAAUUACGAGACGUUAGUCCAGCGUUAAAUUGCCUCGUAUCUUACUCCAAUACUCCGGUUAGCCAAUACUCCUGCAUGGGCCUGUGUCAUCUACGAGAACACAAUAGGACAUUUGUUGCAUAUUCAUUUCAAUUUUUAUUUUAUUGGACUAAUAAAUUUACUUUAAAUCAAUGUUUUGUGUCACAUUAUUGAUUGAUUUCUUUUGUUAGGUAAUUAGCCGUGUAAUAAGUGGGGUAAUCCACUCCGAUGUGGUUUAGUAUUGAAAAAUAAAGACACGUGUGGAGGCAACAGUUCUUUCCCUUUGUGAGCAAUAGCAGACCACCUUGUCGUGGAUUUUCCCUUCCACCUGAGAGGGUAUUGCAAACACUUUGUGUAUGUGUGUAUGUGUGUGUGUGUGUGUGUGUGUGUGUGUCUGUGUGUCUGUGUGGCUGUGUGUCUGUGUGUGUGUGUGUGUGUCUGUGUGUCUGUCUGUCUGUCUGUCUGUCUGUCUGUCUGUCUUACUCGUAUUUGGAUGAAAUGCUGCACGUAGGUUGUCAGGUAGCUCUUCAGUUGAGGUAAAUAAAGGCCCAGACUACUACUGGGAAUUUUGGGUACAUCAACUUCAUAUAUAUAUAUAUGUGUGUGUGUGUGUGUGGAAAAUCAUAUUGUUAAGGUAACACGAGACUGACAUAUGAAAGGGGUACUGACAUGUAAAAAACUGAUAUAGAAAAGCUCACUAUGUGCUUUGUACCAUUAUUCCUGCAAAGGCUUGCAGGCAAGUCAGCCCCUCUCUCAUGCCACUAAUGCUUGCACAAACAUGGGUUGAGUGCUGUACGUGCAGGUAUAGGCAUCUCUGAGUGCCAUUCUAGUUGCUAAUGAUACUAUCAAACCAGUGGUUAAUAUAUCCUAAUAAAAACCCAGUAUAAAGAAAAAACAUCAUAACAAGGCUUAAAAUACUGUAACGAACACUCCCCUUAGAGCAAAUUAGCUUGCUAAUUGAUCACUAAUAAUGUUGUAAUUAAUGUCUUGUACGCCAGUCCUUAUAAUAUGCUGCUCUAUUAAUGAUAAAGUAGCAAAACAAACAUUCAUCACGUCAUUAUAACUUUGAUCCCCAUAACAAAAAAUGAUUACCUGCCAUUUGCUAUAAGAAAAAAGGCCUCUGUUUAUGGGGUUUACUAACCUCUCCUACAUCUUGAACCUGCAACACAAGCCAUUACAGCUGACUCUGCGGCUCAACAGCAGUAAUCCGUUGCUUGUCUGGGCUGGGGGGACCUCUUGCUCCAGGAUUUUAGGAGGUUCGAGGGGAUGCAGAACCCACUGGCCAAUCAGCUGGUCCCGCUUCCAGGUUGAAUUCAAAUUCAACCAUUCACCACGUUGUAUUGCAAUUGGAUUGAACAGAAUAAAUGAAGAAGCAAGGUUUUAUCAUAUGUAGUUCUGUGCUGUGCAAGCACAUUUGUGCACAAAUGUUUAUAAAUCUCUUACAAGGAACAGGAAGGGAGAAAAGGGGGGUAAACCCUGCUUUCAAUCUGUUUCUGUAUUGUGUGAUUUUAUUUUUUGAGACUUGAGAAAUAAUGUCAAAAGAUUAAAAUCCUUUUGGGAGAUGUGUACAGCCCUAUUAUUAGAUGGAACUUUUGUUCUCUGAGGUAGUUUCGCUGUCUGUGUUUCUCAGAGCAGUCCCUCCCCUUUGUCCAAGUCAGACACUAAUGAUGGAACCAACAGAGCCUGUAGUGAGAAUUAGCAGCUGAAGUAAUCAAUAUGUUUAUAUUAUUUGCAGGAAGUAUUGUUAAUUGAGUUUCCGUUUGAACUGUUCAGCAAAUCUGGGAGACUGGCUGUGCUCUUUUCUUUUCCCACAGAAGUGACUGUCUGUUUCAGGUGAGUAACAUGUUUAUGUGAACCUGUUGAUGUUCACAGUCAAGUGUAAAAUCCUGUUGCAGUAAGCCUUUUGUCUAAGUAAUGAUUUCAUCAAAAUGAAAACCUAAGCCUUCUGAAUUAUAGCCUGCAUCACCUUUCAGUGGGUACGAUGUAGUCAGCAUACACCUGCAGAACACGUAUAUACCAAGAAUACCGUUUGCAAAAAAAAGUCCAAAACAAUGUAUAAGAAGCCUGUGUAAAGCACAACAACACAACGAAAAGAUUAACUAAAUAAAAUAAUAGUCAGGGUUUUUUUCAGUCCUAAGAAAUCUACCUUC